AACUAGCCCUGAUUGUAGUGGAAAUCCUUUUUUUGCAAAAAAAAGAUUGUAGCGGAAAGCAGGUUCCCGG
rnacentral:sRNA from 1 species